UACGAAGGGUGCAAGCGUUACUCGGAAUCACUGGGCGUAAAGCGUGCGUAGGCGGUUGAUUAAGUCUGCUGUGAAAGCCCUGGGCUCAACCUGGGAACUGCAGUGGAUACUGGUCAGCUAGAGUGUGAUAGAGGAUGGUGGAAUUCCCGGUGUAGCGGUGAAAUGCGUAGAGACCCGGAGGAACACCAGUGGCGAAGGCGGCUUCCUGGUCUGCGACUGACGCUGUGGCGCGAAAGCUAGGGGAGCAAACGGG
rnacentral:rRNA from 1 species